GAUCAGAAUUCAUUGCUAGAAUUUCUUUGCCAGCCUAGUUACUGCCACGCUGAAAAAUAGAACCAGUAAUGGAGCACAUAAAUUCCAAAUAUGACUGAUUCAACUAGACUAUCUCACCACCAGACCAUGAAUGCCACUGGUAUGGAGCAAAAACGUUUCAAUAUGGAUUCAUUGAGGUUUUGAAAUAGGAAAUUACAAAAGAUACUGUCAUCCCAAAGGCCACAAAGAACAAAAUAAAGUUGUUAAAAUCUAAACCAUAAUGUUGAUGAUUUUCACUCUUCCAUUGC
rnacentral:misc_RNA from 1 species